rnacentral:lncRNA from 1 species
AAUAAAAUUUUGAAACACAUAUACAUGUACCAAACCUCGAAUUCUAAUAGUGGUAUCAGAGCCACAAAUUUUUAUAUGCUGAAUUUUGAUAUACAUAUUGUUGGGUAUAAAAUACCCUCGACCGAAGUUCUUGGCGGGAUUGACCCUCGCAAGCCUCUUCCGACUUUUGACUACUGUUGGUGAACUCCCAUCGCUCCACCCGGACUCCUACGGGAGACGGGCUUCGUCCUCGACUCCAACGGCUGC